CAAUAGCGUAUAUUAAAGUUGUUGCGGUUAAAAAGCUCGUAGUUGGAUUUCUGCCGAGGACGACCGGUCCGCCCACUGGGUGAGUAUCUGGGACGACCUGGGCAUCCUUCCAGAGAAUGUGUCUGCUCUUGACUGAGUGGUGCAGUAUCUGGAACUUUUACUUUGAGGAAAUUAGAGUGUUUCAAGCAGGCAUACGCCUUGAAUACAUUAGCAUGGAAUAAUAAGAUAGGACCUCGGUUCUAUUUUGUUGGUUUCUAGAGCUGAGGUAAUGAUUAAUAGGGAUAGUUGGGGGCAUCCAUAUUUAACUGUCAGAGGUGAAAUUCUUGGAUUUGUUAAAGAUGAAGCUAUGAACGAACGACUUAUUCGACGAAGAGUUUUGUUUACUAGUUAGUACUAACGAAAACGGAAAACGGUUAAAAGGGGGUUAAGGGGUACGUAACGGAAAGUAGUAGUACCUA
rnacentral:rRNA from 1 species